rnacentral:tRNA from 1 species
GGUCCCAUAGCUCAGUUGGUCAGAGCGUCGUACUAAUAUUAUCCUAUCUCACAUAGGAAAUGUUAAGUAAUGCGAAGGCCGAGAGUUCAAGCCUCUCUGGGACCA